CAGUAGCCACGGUAAUACGUAGGGUGCGAGCGUUAAUCGGAAUUACUGGGCGUAAGGCGUGCGCAGGCGGUUAUAUAAGACAGAUGUGAAACCCCCGGGCUCAACCUGGGACCUGCAUUUGUGACUGUAUAGCUAGAGUACGGUAGAGGGGGAUGGAAUUCCGCGUGUAGCAGUGAAAUGCGUAGAUAUGCGGAGGAACACCGAUGGCGAAGGCAAUCCCCUGGACCUGUACUGACGCUCAUGCACGAAAGCGUGGGGAGCAAACAGGAUUAGAUACCCCCGUAGUCCCUGUCUCUUAUAC
rnacentral:rRNA from 1 species